AUUGAACGCUGGCGGCAUGCCUUACACAUGCAAGUCGAACGGUAACGGGCCUUCGGGUGCCGACGAGUGGCGAACGGGUGAGUAAUACAUCGGAACGUGCCCGAUCGUGGGGGAUAACGAGGCGAAAGCUUUGCUAAUACCGCAUACGAUCUACGGAUGAAAGCAGGGGACCGCAAGGCCUUGCGCGGACGGAGCGGCCGAUGGCCGAUUAGGUAGUUGGUGGGCUAAAAGCUUACCAAGCCGACGAUCUGUAGCUGGUCUGAGAGGAUGAUCAGCCACACUGGAACUGAGACACGGCCCAGACUCCUACGGGAGGCAGCAGUGGGGAAUUUUGGACAAUGGGCGCAAGCCUGAUCCAGCCAUGCCGCGUGCAGGAUGAAGGCCUUCGGGUUGUAAACUGCUUUUGUACGGAACGAAAAGCCUUCUUUUAAUACAGGAGGGUCAUGACGGUACCGUAAGAAUAAGCACCGGCUAACUACGUG
rnacentral:rRNA from 1 species